rnacentral:rRNA from 1 species
GAUGAACGCUAGCUAUAGGCUUAACACAUGCAAGUCGAGGGGAAACGGCAAAGAGUGCUUGCACACUUUGGACGUCGACCGGCGCACGGGUGAGUAACGCGUAUCCAACCUGCCCUUUACUUGGGGAUAACCCGUUGAAAGACGGACUAAUACCCAAUGAUAUUCAUUGAUGACAUCUGAUUUGAAUUAAAGAUUUAUCGGUAUAGGAUGGGGAUGCGUCUGAUUAGCUUGUUGGUGAGGUAACGGCUCACCAAGGCCACGAUCAGUAGGGGUUCUGAGAGGAAGGUCCCCCACAUUGGAACUGAGACACGGUCCAAACUCCUACUGGAGGCAGCAGUGAGGAAUAUUGGUCAAUGGACUAGUGUCUGAACCAGCCAUGUAGCGUGCAGGAUGACGGCCCUAUGGGUUGUGAACUGCUUUUUUUGGGAAUAAUCGACAUUACUUGGAAUGUUUUGCAUGUUCCAUUCGAAUAAGGACCGGCGAAUCCCGCGCCAGCAGCCUCGGUAUUACUGAAGGUCCAGUCGUUGUUUCGGAUUUAUUGGAUUUAAGUGUAGUGUAGGGGGUUUGUUGUGGAGUAGUGGUGAAAGGAAAUUGAUCUGUUUGUGUGUUUGGUGGGUUGUUGUGGGUGUGUUGCUGUGUGUGUGUGGUGAUUUGUGUGUGUGUUGGUGUGAUGUUGGAAAUGUUAUUGUGUCUGUGUGCAUGGGGUGUCUUGUGUUGUGUGUGUGUUGGUAGUGUUUGUGUGGUGGUGUAUGAUGGUUUGAGUGUUAUAUAGUGUAGUUUUUUGUUGGUGUGGGGCCUUGUGUGUGUCUCGGGUGUGAAAUCAAAUAUAUAGUUUUUCAUGUUGUUGUGUUGUGUUGUAUGUUAUGGUGUGGUGUGAUAGAAUGUGGGUGGUUGACUUGGUGUUGUUUGUGUGUGUGUUGUGUGUUGAUGUGUGUUUGUGUGUGUGUUUGUGCGUGGUGUAGUGUUGUGCUGUGUGUGC